GCACUAUAACCUCAUCCUGCCCCUGCUACUUGGAAAUGUGUGCUGAAAGAAAUCCAGAGGAAAUCCAGACAAAGCAUACUUGACCUUGUAUUCUGUCUCUACACCUCUGCCACAUUU